rnacentral:rRNA from 1 species
UACGUAGGGUGCAAGCGUUGUCCGGAAUUAUUGGGCGUAAAGAGCUCGUAGGCGGUUUGUCACGUCGGAUGUGAAAUCCCGGGGCUUAACCUCGGGUCUGCAUUCGAUACGGGCUGACUAGAGUUCGGUAGGGGAGACUGGAAUUCCUGGUGUAGCGGUGAAAUGCGCAGAUAUCAGGAGGAACACCGAUGGCGAAGGCAGGUCUCUGGGCAUUAACUGACGCUGAGGAGCGAAAGCAUGGGGAGCGAACAGG